rnacentral:rRNA from 1 species
CAGCCGCCGCGGUAAUACGAAGGGGGCUAGCGUUGCUCGGAAUGACUGGGCGUAAAGGGCGCGUAGGCGGCGAUCAAAGUCAGGCGUGAAAUUCCUGGGCUCAACCUGGGGCUGCGUUUGAUACUUGAUUGCUAGAGUGGGGAAGAGGGUCGUGGAAUUCCCAGUGUAGAGGUGAAAUUCGUAGAUAUUGGGAAGAACACCGGUGGCGAAGGCGGCGACCUGGUCCUUGACUGACGCUGAGGCGCGAAAGCGUGGGGAGCAAACAGGAUUAGAUACCCCCGUAGUCCCUGUCUCUUAUACA